GAAGGAUCAUUAGAAAUAUCUGGGAUGCUCAAUAUGAGUUCCCAACAAAACACAUUCAUGCGUAUUCUUCCGUGUGUUUCCCCAGACCAAUGGCCAGUACGUACCAUCUUGGCCCAUAACAGGGUAUCCAGCUGGUGUACAGCCGCGUGUGUCUGGGAAGGCCCAAAUUGGCAAAACUUUAUGUUAACUUACUGUCUGACAAGGCCAUGUGCCCCUGUAUUUUAAAUAUUUUAAAACUUUCAACAACGGAUCUCUUGGCUCUCGCAUCGAUGAAGAACGCAGCGAAAUGCGAUAAGUAAUGUGAAUUGCAGAAUUCAGUGAAUCAUCGAAUCUUUGAACGCACAUUGCGCCCUUUGGUAUUCCUUAGGGCAUGCCUGUUCGAGCGUCACUAAAAACCCCAUCACAUUAUGUGUGGUAUUGGCAGAAGUGGGUACUCCCACCCUGCUGGAAUCAAUAGGCUGGAAAAGUAGAUCGUAGCAACAGACUUUCAGAGUGUUUUGAAAUGCUAAAUUAGUUUGAAGCUGGUCGGAACCCCAGGCCAUUUGACCCCCAUUCUGCACAAAGCAGUAAGGUUGACCUCGGAUCAGGUAGGGAUACCCGCUGAACUUAAGCAUAUCAAU
rnacentral:rRNA from 1 species